rnacentral:rRNA from 1 species
UACGAAGGGGGCUAGCGUUGUUCGGAAUCACUGGGCGUAAAGGGCGCGUAGGUGGUCCGUUAAGUUCGUUGUGAAAGCCCUGGGCUCAACCCAGGAACUGCUUCGAAUACUGGCGGACUUGAGGCUAGUAGGGGUUACUGGAACUGACGGUGGAGCGGUGAAAUGCGUAGAUAUCGUCAGGAACGCCAAUGGUGAAGACAGGUAACUGGGCUAGUUCUGACACUGAGGCACGAAAGCGUGGGGAGCGAACGGG